rnacentral:rRNA from 1 species
UGGGGAAUAUUGGUCAAUGGGCGAAAGCCUGAACCAGCAAUGCCGCGUGAGUGAUGAAGGCCUUCGGGUUGUAAAGCUCUGUCAGUGGGAACGAAUAAGCCGAUUAAUACUCGGUGAUGACGGUACCCGCAAAGGAAGCACCGGCUAACUCUGUGCCAGCAGCCGCGGUAAUACAGAGGGUGCAAGCGUUGUUCGGAAUUACUGGGCGUAAAGCGCGUGUAGGCGGUCUUAUAAGUCGGUCGUGAAAUCCCUAGGCUUAACCUAGGAACUGCGAUCGAAACUGUUCGACUAGAGUAUCGGAGGGGAUGGCGGAAUUCCCGGUGUAGAGGUGAAAUUCGUAGAUAUCGGGAGGAACACCUGUGGCGAAGGCGGCCAUCUGGAAGAUUACUGACGCUGAGACGCGAAAGCGUGGGGAGCAAACAGG